GACGAACGCUGGCGGCGUGCUUAACACAUGCAAGUCGAACGGAAAGGCCCUGCUUUUGUGGGGUGCUCGAGUGGCGAACGGGUGAGUAACACGCGAGUAACCUGCCCUUGACUUUGGGAUAACUUCAGGAAACUGGGGCUAAUACCGGAUAGGAGCUCCUGCUGCAUGGUGGGGGUUGGAACGUUUCGGCGGUUGGGGAUGGACUCGCGGCUUAUGAGCUUGUUGGUGGGGUAGUGGCUUACCCAGGCUUUGACGGGUAGCCGGCCUGAGAGGGUGACCGGCCACAUUGGGACUGAGAUACGGCCCAGACGCCUACGGGAGGCAACAGUGGGGAAUAUUGCACAAUGGGCGGAAGCCUGAUGCAGCAACGCCGCGUGCGGGAUGACGGCCUUCGGGUUGUAAACCGCUUUCGCCUGUGACGAAGCGUUAGUGACGGUAAUGGGUAAAGAAGCACCGGCUAACUACGUG
rnacentral:rRNA from 1 species